GAUGAACGCUGGCGGCGUGCCUAAUACAUGCAAGUCGAGCGAACAGAUGAGGAGCUUGCUCCUCUGACGUUAGCGGCGGACGGGUGAGUAACACGUGGAUAACCCACCUAUAAGACUGGGAUAACUUCGGGAAACCGGAGCUAAUACCGGAUAAUAUAUUGAACCGCAUGGUUCAAUAGUGAAAGACGGUUUUGCUGUCACUUAUCGAUGGAUCCGCGCCGCAUUAGCUAGUUGGUAAGGUAACGGCUUUCCACGGCGACGAUGCGUAGCCGACCUGAGAGGGUGAUCGGCCACACUGGAACGGGGACACGGUCCAGACUCCUACGGGAGGCAGCAGUAGGGAAUCUUCCGCAAUGGGCGAAAGCCUGACGGAGCAGCGCCGCGUGAGUGAUGAAGGUCUUCGGAUCGUAAAGCUCUGUUAUUAGGGAAGAACAAAUGUGUAAGUAACUAUGCACGUCUUGACGGUACCUAAUCAGAAAGCCACGGCUAACUACGUG
rnacentral:rRNA from 1 species